GUGCAAAGAAAGACAGGGAGACUUUUUUUUUUCCAGAAAGAUUUACUAUCUCGUGUCAAAAUGAUCUUCUCACAGAUAUGGUUUCCCUGUGAAAUUUCACUGACAUCUGGGCCAGAUUCUUGAAAAAUGAUUUCUGGCUUUUUUUCCCCUUCAUUUCUAAUUUACUGGAUUACAAUAGAUAAUUCUUCACCCCCUUCUGAACCUGUUUCCACGAAAGCGAAAAUAAAAACCAGGACGUUUAGACUAUAUUAAAAAAAUGUCAAGGGAACAGGGUAGAAAUUUUUGAUGUUAUAGAAGAAAGAAACAACAUACGUUACAGUCGUGAUUAUUUUCAUUAUUUUUUUAAACCUGCCUAGAGAGUAAGGCUCACGCUUCAGUUUUAAAGAAAAAGGAAAAACACAGGUGGGGAAAAGAUGAUUUAAUGCUUCAGUCAACUGAAAGGGAGGGGCUCUUCCCCAAGGCCUUCAUGGGGUUGGCAGUUUUCAGCUCCUGGUAUCUGAACAAUCAGGCAGGAUUUCAGUAAGGGUGUCUGAAGUACAAGUAGAAUGUCUGUUAGGCCAAAAGUAAGUUUUAACAUUUCACUGAAGAAGACACAAAGAUUUCUGAAACCAGAGAUUUCAGAAACUCUGUUGACUUCCCAGAUGGUAAAAGCCCCUAAAAUAGGAAUUAUUAUUUUGUACCUCAUUUUUCCCAUCAUGCUUUCUACUAGUCUAGUCUACUAGAAGAGGGUUUCAAUAUAUGGUUGAUGAAUAAGGAGGUCAUGUAACUGUGGAUGAGUUAAAAAGACUCCUUGGGCUACGGAGUAAGGCCAAGACCAGUAUAGGCAAUGUAGUGAGAAUCUGUUUAAUUUUUUGUUAAUAGAAGAAAGAUCUUUGCAUAUAAGUCACAGUAGAGCAUUUGCCUAGCAUGAGAAGGGUCUUGUGCUCAUUCCCUAGUAUAAGGCAGCAGUGUGUAGUGGGGAUGGUCUAUAUAUGACAACCCACAGCCAGAACCACAAAGAAUAAGGACACAUGCUAUCAUUUAUUCUAGGAUCAGAAACAAGGUAAAGGUCGAUUUGCUCAUACUGUUAACCAACACAGUAUUUCAAGUCUGAGCCAGCACAGCGAGGUAAGAGAGAAAAAUCAAAGGCACCUGAAUAGGAGGGCAGGAGGAGAAGCUAUCCCGAUUUGCAAGCAGCAUGAUUCUGUAUGGCGAUAAGGCUAGACUGCACCGAGAAUGUUAAAACUGACCAGCCAAUUCAGUAAGUUGGCACGAUAUGAAAUCAAUUUCAAGAAUCGAUGGUAUUUGUAUAUAUCAAUUGCAAAACUGCUGGAAAAACAAUCUUAAUGCUAGCUGUUACAGCAAAUAACCUGUAUAAAUAAAUUUAACCGAGGAAGUGAAUUAUCUCCACAAUGAACAUUACAGAACACCAAUGAAGGAAACUAAAGAUAACACACCAAAUGGAAACACAUUCCAUUUUCCAGACUAAUUAAUAUUGUUAACAUGCCCACACUAUACAGCAUGAUCUACAGAAGCAAUGUAAUUCCUAUCAAAUGCUAAUGACAUUCUUCACUGAAAUAGG
rnacentral:lncRNA from 1 species